GUUGGAAGCAUCGAUCUGAAAUUGUAGGUCAUUUGUGAUAUUUGGAAGUAUCGAUAUGAUAAUCAGUAAGAGGGGAGAGAACAAGAAUGUUCCCGAAGUUCCUGUUGUAGGACAGAAGGUUCUUGAUGCGACAAGCAAUGAACCAUAGGUUCCUCAUGGGUCAAAUAUGUCAAAUAUUGCACAAGUUACCAAAAACUAUCAUGAAUAUCAAACGAUAAUGGCUGUGCUUUGGAAGCGAAUCAAUGAUACUGGCAAAAAUUGGCUCCACGUGUACAAAGUUUACACAUCCCCUAUGCUUUUUAUGAUUUAGCUCUCUAUCUGAGAUGCUAUGGCGCGUUAUAUGUGUGAUUAUGCAUCUUCUCGAAUUUCAUCUUUGACAUCUUGUAGUAUUUUAAGAAAUAAUUUUGUUUCGUAUUGGUAAUUUGUGGUUUUUUCAUUUUUUACUAGAGAAAUAGAUUGGAAUCCUAUUUGAUCUUGCAUAUGGUUUUUAGAUUUAGUUUUUAUGAUAUUUAUUUUGCCUCGUUUCUCAACAUGAGUUUGUUUCAUCUAUGACUAAAAACUUUUUGCGUUGAACUUCAGGCAUUGACUGUUUUUGAAUACCUGGUGGGACAUGGGUCUGAACGUGUUAUUGAUGAAAUCAAAGAACAUGCAUAACAAAUUCUAUCUCUGUCUGUUAAUAUUUGCCAUUUGGAAAUGAUUGUUUGGAACA